GAUUAUACGACUCCACCCACCGGCAGACAGAGAGAUAGAGAGAGAGAGAGAGACCGCAGCUAGCAGCUUUUGAUUCUCACAGGUUUUCUGGCUGAAAAAUCCAAGCACGCGCACAAAAAUGCACGGAACCCAUAUUUAGUAUUUACGAUGAUUUCUGGAGUAUGUCAUCCAGUUCAAUCCACCAAAUUUCGUAGUUAAGGGCUUCCCUGUCUCCUUUUUCCCUCAAAGACAAGUAAAACGUAAUAAAGAAAACAUAUUUCUUCUCUUUUCAGGCAGCUUCCUAGAGGGUAAGAAAUUAGCCAUAAGUUACCCAGCAAAACCACAAAGGCAUUUGUGAUUUUUAAACAGAAGAGGAAGGGUACUGGUUUGCAGAGGCUUAGUACUUCUGCAAGCCGAGCUUCCUUUCUCGCUCGUCAUAUAUCGAAGUAGAAUUACUGCUGUAAAAGCCUCUUGUUCGUGAUGCUUGUGCAAAUGACAAUUGUUAUCUGUUGAUGAGAUUGGGGAGUUUCUGUGCAACUUUUAAGUGAGAGAGAGAUUGCAACUGGCAUAAUGGGUGCUGUCUGUUGCUGUUUGAAUUCUGAAGUUUUUGAAGACUAUGCAAAUCCAAAUAGUUCUGUAUAUAGGAACUGUACGUGUCUCAGUUGCUUUAUUCAGAACCUUUUAAAUGUGUACACCUCACUAUUCAGAAGAGGGGAAGUGCAUUCCCUCCCUUCUUCUAUUCAGGGGGCAGCAUCUAUGACUUCUGCAGCAUCACUGGACAACACUCUAUCUGACAUGUAUCGCUCUCCUCCAAGGCCCUUGCCUUACGAUGCAGACCCCAGAUACUUCCGCUUGCAGCGGGAUGGACUAGUUUCAAGACGUGAAAAGGGCUCAAGUCAUUCACACGAGGAGACAGAACCUCUAAGAAGUGAUGUCGAUGUAGAUGCAGUAUCUUUAAAUUCGGGAGACAAAUGGAAUGAAUCUCCCUGUGAAGAUGGAUCUAAAGAAUAUCGUUCUAAGUCCUCACUUAAGCUCUCACAGGCAAAAACUAUGACUGGAGUUGGGAACAUUUAUACAGCAUCAGAAGAUGAGGAUUUCUGUCCUACUUGUCUUGAAGAAUAUACUCAAGAGAACCCCAAGAUACUGACUAAGUGCUGUCAUCAUUUUCACCUUGGUUGCAUUUAUGAGUGGAUGGAGAGAAGUGAAAGCUGUCCGGUUUGUGGCAAGUUGAGUUGGUGACUUGUUGCUUCACAACAUCAAACAGAGGCCCCUAAAUGCCAAGUAUCAUCCUAGAACACCUGGAAACCUGAGUAAAUGCUGGAAGAACCCUAGUACAUUGAGGUGUAUCACAUUGCAUGUGAAUUUGAGGCAUAGUCAGUUUACUGAGCUGAUGAGCAGACUUGUAUGUGGUAUUCUUUUAUGUGUAUUGUGGUUAACAACUGGUCCGUGAAGCAGAGACGUUAAGGUAUCAUGCUCAUGGGACUUUCUUACUUCUGACUUUUGGAGGUUCAUGCAUUCUAAUGUGAAUCCAAGUAAAAUGGUGGCAGGUGAUGGUAUUCGAUGAAACAACUAAUCUUGAUUGAAAAGUUUGCGUUGUGGAGGAAGCAAGCAUCAGAAGGAGAUAUUGUGCAUACCACAGAUGAGUUUGUCAACCAUAGUAAAUAUAAAAAAUUGUUCUCAUAUCCAUUGUUGUGAAUACAUUCCGUCUCAGAUGUGCGUUGUUCACUACCCCUGGAACCUUUGCAGUAAAUUUCCUUUUUGGUUGAUUUGGGAGAAAAGAUAGAUUAAGAAAUAAGAUUCAUUCAAACAAUGUUGAGCUACACGAAAGGCAAUGAAUGCUGAAGACAGGCCAAGACGAGUUUCCUCAAAAGUGAAUGGACCGAGGAGAAGCAUCUGGACUGACUCCUGUUUGGGGUGUAUAGUUUUUGUUUACAUUUUUACUUUUUGGCAUUAAGGCGUUGUUGGUUCUAAUUAAACUUGAAGAUUGAUUUGGCUUGAAGUACUAAAGAAACAUGCAAGGGGGAAAGUGAAUUACACGGAUUAAUUUCUGUUGCUAA